rnacentral:rRNA from 1 species
AUUGAACGCUGGCGGCAGGCCUAACACAUGCAAGUCGAGCGGAUGAAGGGAGCUUGCUCCUGGAUUCAGCGGCGGACGGGUGAGUAAUGCCUAGGAAUCUGCCUGGUAGUGGGGGAUAACGUCCAGAAACGGGCGCUAAUACCGCAUACGUCCUGAGGGAGAAAGUGGGGGAUCUUCGGACCUCACGCUAUCAGAUGGGCCUAGGUCGGAUUAGCUAGUUGGUGGGGUAAAGGCCUACCAAGGCGACGAUCCGUAACUGGUCUGAGAGGAUGAUCAGUCACACUGGAACUGAGACACGGUCCAGACUCCUACGGGAGGCAGCAGUGGGGAAUAUUGGACAAUGGGCGAAAGCCUGAUCCAGCCAUGCCGCGUGUGUGAAGAAGGUCUUCGGAUUGUAAAGCACUUUAAGUUGGGAGGAAGGGCAGUAAGUUAAUACCUUGCUGUUUUGACGUUACCAACAGAAUAAGCACCGGCUAACUUCGUG